CAGGUCUCAGAGAUCGCCUAGUUAGGACAGGUGACUGUUGGCGGUGGUUGCUAUAGAAAUUCAGUACUGCGUACGCGUCAUUUGAGCGUUUCAAAAUUCACUUGAUCUGUUUCUGCUGUUUUGAUGCAGAGAAGGAGGAAUGGUGGAUUCGGGCUGAUUCGGAUGGAGAAAUGCACGAAUGCAGACCACAUGCGACAAAUGCAGGCGUACACGUGUACAGCCACGUGUUGGCAAUGGCCUUUUCAUGCAUUCCCCUGAAAAAAAUUGUGGAUUCCAUGUGUAGUUUAUUUUCGUUGAGAGGUUUUGCUUGCCCAAAUACUAGAAAUAGGGCACAGACUUCGUCUUUUUUAGUUUGGUGAUCGCCAGUCGGUUGACCAGUCUACGUUUGGAGCUCUUCGUCCAGUGCCACCAGACCACUGAUCAUGUCGUCGCGGAAGCAUGACGUGCAGGCCAGACGUUCCUCGCGUCGUGCCACUCCUGGGGCCUACCAGUGUGGAAACCCCUUCCACUACCAGUGGGGGAGUACGUCCACAAGGAAGGACAAAAACGCCAGGAAGUCCCUGUUGGAUGUCCUCUCCAGCAUCAGCGGACGGAACAUCAAGUCUCUCUGCAGUGAUACUGUAGUGCGAAGUGCGUUGGAUGCUCUCAGUCAAGCCGUCACUCGUCCUAUGCAGCCUAUGCAGCCUAUGCAGCUAUCCUAUGCAGCUGAACAGUUCUGAAUUUUUCUGCACCAUGCCCAUGAAUGCAUGGCGCAAUAUGGUGGCCUUGAAGGCAUUACACGGAAGUUCCUCACAAGGAAUAUGACAGUUCAUAAUGACACCACACAGGAAAUUGUGUGCUUGUAAUUCUUCAAUCUUGAUAUCAUUGAUGCCAUGCGGCCAGAACUUCUGGUAUAUUCAUUCAUGAAUUAUAGCAUUAUGCUUCUUGUCCGAGUGCUGCUGCUGUUGCGCUCCAUCUCUUUCUCUGUCUUGCCACUUCUUGUUUCCUGCAUUAGUAGGCGCGACUAUUACUGCUGCUGCUGCUGUUGCUGCUGCUGUUGCUGCUGCUGCUGCUGCUGUUGCUGCUGCUGUUGGCGCUGCUGCUGCUGCCGUUGCUGUACGUAGAGUUGUAUCACGUGUUGCUCCUCCAGCUGGUGCUGUUGCUGUACAUGCAAUGGUAUCAGCUGUUGUUGUUCUUGCUGCUGCUGCUGCUGCUCUUGUUCAGGUGGUUGCCCCUUCUCUUUCAAGGUUCUACCGAGAUAACACUGGUCACACAA